GUUAAAUAGCAACUUGGUCGGUUGAUAUGGUUUGGCUGUGCCCCCACCCAAAUCUCAUCUUGAAUUGUAGCUCCCAUAAUCCCCAUGUGUCAUGGGAGAGACCUGGUGGGAGGUAAUUGAAUCAUGGGGGUGAUUACCCACAUGCUGCUGUUCUCAAAAUAGUGAGUUCUCGCUAGAUCCGUUGGUUUUAUAGGGGGCUCUUCCCCUUUUGCUCAGCAGUUCUCCUUUGCUUCCCCUUCCACCACGAUUGUAAGUUUCCUGAGGCCCCCAGCCAUGCUGAACUAUGGAGUAUCUCUCUGUCGCCCAGGCUGGAGUGAGUGGCACCAUCUCGGCACACUGCAACCUCCACCUCCCAGGUUCCAGCGAUUCUCCUGCCUC
rnacentral:lncRNA from 10 species